rnacentral:rRNA from 1 species
UACGGGAGGCAGCAGUGGGGAAUCUUGCGCAAUGGGCGAAAGCCUGACGCAGCCAUGCCGCGUGUAUGAUGAAGGUCUUAGGAUUGUAAAAUACUUUCACCGGUGAAGAUAAUGACUGUAGCCGGAGAAGAAGCCCCGGCUAACUUCGUGCCAGCAGCCGCGGUAAUACGAAGGGGGCUAGCGUUGCUCGGAAUUACUGGGCGUAAAGGGAGCGUAGGCGGACAUUUAAGUCAGGGGUGAAAUCCCAGAGCUCAACUCUGGAACUGCCUUUGAUACUGGGUGUCUUGAGUGUGAGAGAGGUAUGUGGAACUUCGAGUGUAGAGGUGAAAUUCGUAGAUAUUCGGAAGAACACCAGUGGCGAAGGCGACAUACUGGCUCAUUACUGACGCUGAGGCUCGAAAGCGUGGGGAGCAAACAGGAUUAGAUACCCUGGUAGUCCACGCCGUAAACGAUGAUUGCUAGUUGUCGGGAUGUUUACAUCUCGGUGACGCAGCUAACGCAUUAAGCAAUCCGCCUGGGGAGUACGGUCGCAAGAUUAAAACUCAAAGGAAUUGACGGGGA